AAUGUGUAUAUAUAAUUAUAUCGUG
rnacentral:miRNA from 1 species